rnacentral:rRNA from 1 species
UACGUAGGGGGCGAGCGUUGUCCGGAUUUAUUGGGCGUAAAGAGCUCGUAGGUGGUUUGGUAAGUCGGAUGUGAAAUCUCCAGGCUCAACCUGGAGGGGUCAUUCGAUAUUGCCAUGACUAGAGUUCGGUAGGGGAGUGUGGAAUUCCUGGUGGAGCGGUGAAAUGCGCAGAUAUCAGGAGGAACACCCGUAGCGAAGGCGGCACUCUGGGCCGAUACUGACACUGAGGAGCGAAAGCGUGGGGAGCGAACAGG